CGCAACGUGCCUUCCCCUCCCCAAAGGCAUCUAUGCCAUAAACCAGUAGAUGUUUAAGGAUCAAAAUAAGAGCCCAAACAACUUGCUCUGUCUAACAACCCUGACAACAAAAUAACACACAGGUUGUGAGCCCGGCCAUAGGAGAAGCUCCUUUGUGUGAGCCUGGGCGGUCUUCAUCUGGCUGUGACGCCCUGGACAUCUCUUCUACACUUCCUGCCUGGUUUCCAGUCUUCAAACUCCUUUCCGGUUAAGACACAGCCUGGCGACGGCGAUCGGUCCCAGGACACCGUUCACCAUGACCUGGCCUCAGAGUGGAGAGGAACUCGAGCUCAUGGCCUUGUGGUCCUUGUAAGAACUAAUGUGGGGUAAUGCGUGCGAGCGGGAGUGGACGCUCUCACUGGACAUACAGACUGUUAGGAACCAGAAGGGGGAGAUGCGAGAGACGCCUGAUACGCCCAUGAUACCGAGACUACACGGAGAGAGGAAUCUCAAAAUGAAUCAUGGGUGUGGCUUUUGGUACGCAGAGUGCACUGGAA